AUGUAUAAGAUUCGUAUGAAACGGUAAUAUCAGGCUACAUGUUGAGUGUCGUCUCUGUGCUGCUGGUUACUUUGUAAAGUCUCGGGGUCUGUGGUCAUGAGAUGCAAAUUCAACUUUAACAAAUCAAACUGAGGAUAUCGGAAUGGUCAUUCAAUAUAUUUAAAUUGGAUUUUGAUUUAUCAUGUGACAAACAACAAUUGUGAUGGAGGUGUGUUUUACAGCGAUCACAAAUCGAAAGUGUUUCAAAGACUUCCUGCUGCACACGACCGUCUGAACUACUGCAAGUCAUGAUGAGCUUCUGAUUGUUUUCACAAACCAGUCUGUUUAGCUGCAGGAUGUCAGAGGAGCGAGGAAAGGACUCUCCGUCUGAGAUGAGUCUCUCAGAGGAACAGAGUGUAAGAUUAGGCUCACAUGUGUCCAGCUCUGUGUCUGUGAAGAGUGACCAUUCAAAGGGAGGUGAGCAACCAGACUUAAGUCAGAACAAAUCAUCAUCUCCCGAAAGGUAUUUCAUUGGUUUCUAAUUGUUGGUUGAAAAAAUACAAUAUGCGCACAUACAAAAAUUUUUGGCAGGCGCACGAUCAAAUUAAUCACUUCACUAUAAGUAAACAAGAAUCCACUGCUGCUCCCAAGGAUCAUUUAUUCUUAGAUUCAAUAUAUUCAAAUAAAUUGAUCUUUGGGAGAAGUGGUGGCAGUGUGCUGAUUCUAAUUGUUGGUUGCGCAUAGACUGUUCGUUGAAAAUAUUUUUAAUCAAUAUUUAUCAUGAAACUAUACUGUUGAAAUAUUUAUCAGAUUUUUCAUUAAGAUACUAAGAACAUCAGCAAAGAAGAUUAGAGACAGAAAAGAUUAUAAUGAUUUGAUGUGAACUGUGCUAUUUUGCAAUCUCCAUUAAUUUUGGUGCAGUAACAUAACCGCUCGACAGUGUAUGAAAAUACCUAUUGUCAAUGCUGAAUAUAUAGUUGGUGGACAACCAGAAUGUGUAAUACUGCCGCGUGUACCGCCGCCGCAGGGUUGCGGCAUUAACUGCAAGUCAGUCGCGUGUUAAAAUCAUUCGCGAAACUACUGCCAGGUGCCACAAUGUGACGGAUUGUAAACUGACUGCAAUUGUAACAUUUUGGUUUGUAAACGGAGAUGAAACGAUGAAGUAAAACAACAACAACAUUAUAAUAUAACAUUGCAACAUACUUAAAAAACCAUUAGAAUAUUUACAGUGAGUUAAUUUCAAAACGUGGGAUAGACUUA
rnacentral:lncRNA from 12 species